rnacentral:rRNA from 1 species
GAUGAACGCUGGCGGCGUGCUUAACACAUGCAAGUCGAACGAAGCACUUUAACUUGAUUUCUUCGGAUUGAUUGUUAUUGUGACUGAGUGGCGGACGGGUGAGUAACGCGUGGGUAACCUGCCUCAUACAGGGGGAUAACAGUUGGAAACGGCUGCUAAUACCGCAUAAGCGCACGGUAUCGCAUGAUACAGUGCGAAAAGAUUUAUCGCUGUAAGAUGGACCCGCGUCUGAUUAGCUAGUUGGCAGGGUAACGGCCUACCAAGGCGACGAUCAGUAGCCGACCUGAGAGGGUGAUCGGCCACAUUGGGACUGAGACACGGCCCAAACUCCUACGGGAGGCAGCAGUGGGGGAUAUUGCACAAUGGAGGAAACUCUGAUGCAGCGACGCCGCGUGAGUGAAGAAGUAUUUCGGUAUGUAAAGCUCUAUCAGCAGGGAAGAUAAUGACGGUACCUGACUAAGAAGCACCGGCU